rnacentral:rRNA from 1 species
CCUACGGGUGGCAGCAGUGAGGAAUAUUGGUCAAUGGGCGCGAGCCUGAACCAGCCAAGUAGCGUGAAGGAUGACUGCCCUAUGGGUUGUAAACUUCUUUUAUAUGGGAAUAAAAUGUUCCACGUGUGGCUUUUUGUAUGUACCAUAUGAAUAAGGAUCGGCUAACUCCGUGCCAGCAGCCGCGGUAAUACGGAGGAUCCGAGCGUUAUCCGGAUUUAUUGGGUUUAAAGGGAGCGUAGGUGGGUUGUUAAGUCAGUUGUGAAAGUUUGCGGCUCAACCGUAAAAUUGCAGUUGAAACUGGCAGUCUUGAGUACAGUAGAGGUAGGCGGAAUUCGUGGUGUAGCGGUGAAAUGCUUAGAUAUCACGAAGAACUCCGAUUGCGAAGGCAGCUCACUGGACUGCAACUGACACUGAGGCUCGAAAGUGUGGGUAUCAAACAGGAUUAGAUACCCGAGUAGUC